CAGAGUUGCAAAGCUCCCUAAACCAUCGUGAACCUACCGCUAAACAGUUGCUUCGGCGGGUGGCCGGGCUCCCCCAGGGGGGCCGGCCGCCGAGCCCGCCGGAGGAAGCCAAACUCUUGUUUUACUACCGGCCUCUCUGAGUACACUUAGUUAAAUAAGUCA
rnacentral:misc_RNA from 1 species